AUUGCCUACCCCGUGCUACAGGACUUCGCUGAGCGCCAGGCGCAGGGACUGGACGCAUACGGACCCCCGGGAGCCCCGGAACUCGCGUUCCCACGCCAGACCUCAUCCCCUUCUGACAGAGACGCCCUCGUCCCACCGUCGCCGCAGGCGCCAGGGGUCCCUCCCCACCGCCGAGGUCUAGCCGCCGCCCGCCCGCCUUCAGGGCAGCGCGGGGACCCCCUGGCCCUCGCCCAGUGCUCCGGGGCUCACCCGCCGCUCCUCGCCGCCUCCGGAGGCGAGGGAUUGUUUCCCACAAGGGACUGGAGUCCAGGGAAGGACUCGCCUGGAGCGGGAGGCGGGGAUGCACAUGCGCAGAGGGAGAGGCCGAGCGCCCGAGUUAGGCUGGUGGAUGCGAUGCGGGGCUUGGAAGCGGCGCUAGACGGUGCCUGUCAGCUCUGGCCGCAACCCUCAGUUGUAAAAUGAGGCUGAUAGUGCCUACCUAGCAGGGGUUUUAUGAGAAUUGGAGGCGCUUACGUUGUAAAAGCAUUUAAACCGGUGUCUGACACAUAAAUUGUUCAGUAUAUUUCUCACAAUUAUAUAUCAUGCUGGUCAUCAUAAGGCUCUCCUGCAAAACAGCCUUGUAUAGUGGGUUGAGAGAUUACUGUCUCAGUUACCCACUCCUGCUUGGAACCAGGAUUCUGUCAGUGUCCCCAGAGGUUGUGGAUCAAAUCAAUGUGCCUGUUAGACACAAGCCAAGAGAAGGAAAGCAACCAAUCAAGGAUAUUGUCACCGGGGGUCCUUGCUCCCAGAGCUCCCAAGAUGGUGGUGGGCUGCUUCCGAGAUGGGGGCAAGCCUCAUGUUCUCUGACCUGGGGUUCUUGGCCUCAUGGAUUACAAGGAAUGGAAUUUUGGGCUAUGUGGUGAGUGUUAUAGCUCAAUUAGAAGCCGUGGGUCACGGAAGAGAACUGUGGAACCCAGUGACUAGUGUUCAGCUCGAUUAGGACCAACCUGGGACUUAGCUGUGCAGGAACAAUGGCAAGCCUUUAGCCCAACUUGGGAGCAGCAAUGGGCACCUCGCUGGAUCAGGAGCACAGCGGACACCCUGCCAGAUCCGGAGGGAUGGAAGUCAGCGGCGGGUCUGCGAAGGCCGCAAACAGCAGCGGUGGACAGCGAGCGAAAGCUCAGCUCAAGCCGUAACAAACACGGACCAGAAGAGAGUGCAGUUGCAAGAUUUAAUAGAAUGAAAACACAGCUCCCAUGCAAAGGGAGGGGACCCAAAGUGGGUAGCUGUUGCCGGCUCCAAUGCCUGGGUUUCUAUCCCGAUCAUUGUCCCUCCCGCUGUGCUCUUAGGCAAUAGAUGAUUGGCUAUUUCUUUACCUACUGUUUUUGCCUAAUUAGCAUUUUAGUUAGUUCUCUUUACUACCUGAUUGGUCGGAUGUGAGCUAAGUGCAAGCCCCUUGUUUAAAUGUGGAUGCAGUCAACUUCUCAGCUAAGCUUAGGGAUUCUUAGUCGGCCUAGGAAAUCCAGCUAGUCCUGUCUCUCAGUAUCACAGUACAUUUACUUGUCAUGUCUUAGCCUUGGCCAGUUUGUAAUAGUUUCUUGCUCCUACCUUGUCUUUCAUGACCUUGCUAUGAAGAUGAAAGCACGCUCUCUUGACUUCAGUCCUCCCACCUUGGCUUCCCAAAGUGCUUGGGAUUACAGGCAUGAGCAACCACACCCAGCCUAUAGUUUAACUUUAAAACAAGAACGAUAAUGAUCCCUUCCUGAAACUAACCCCCUCCUUGUUUGGGGACAAAAACCGUUUUUGUAAAACUAGUGGAAGUCCACAAGUUUAGAAUUUUGGUAGGAACCUGAAUUCUGUAAGAUGCAGGCAUAAACUCUAACCAGUUUUUGCUUUUAUAAUCUGCCUUUUUGUAACUGCUUACUACUCCAGAGUCACAUAGCCAGUGGUCACAAGAUUUAUAACAUCUCCAAUUGUCACUAUAGAUAAUGUCACUAUUGUAAAACCUAAAACUAGUGUUUGAGUUAUUUUUCAGACUUUACAUUCUGAUGGACCAACUGGUGCCACUGGGACCAGUAACCCAUAGCAAAAAAUGGACUCAGUUGAUCCUGUGACCCCCUUCAAGAACCGAUUCAACACAAGAAGACAGUUUCAACAGCCCUAUGAUUUCAUCCCUGACCCAGCCAAUCACCAUUCCCCAUUCUCUAGCCUCCUGAUGGGCAGGAGGCUAGAGAGGUUCAAAGUUUUUCAUCCUUGAAAGACUGUAGCCUCCAAAUUCUCAGGAAGGCAGAUUUGAGAAUUAUCUCUUAUACUUGCUUGGCCACCCUGCAAUUAUUAAACUCUUUUUCUGCUGCAA
rnacentral:lncRNA from 1 species